AACAAGAAAGAAAAAGUGGGGUGGAGACCCAAAGUGACUAUUAAGAGAUCAGAUAUCCAGUUUGUUGGCCCUGCUCAGAGCCCAAAAGGGCAACAGCAAAGGGACUGAGCUGCAGGGAAGGGAAUGUGAAGCAAGCUCACGUCUCUGCUUAUAGCCCUUCUCACUCACUAGGGGGUCUUGUAAAGUCAUAGGACAUGGAGCAGACACUCACGCAAGUAAGUGCACAUCCACACCUGAGCUGUCUUCUCCUAGAACGUGGCUGCCACUGACCUGAGUUACCUCAGCUAGAGGAAUGGGGUAGGGGGUAGGAAGCAAGAAGUUUGAACUAUUUCUGCCUAAUGGCAAAGGUCCUAUAGGGUGUCUCCAUGUCAAUUCGCCAGCACCAGGCCAGCCUCUUCCUCAUUCACCUGCAAGUAGCUGCACAGACGAACAGUCUAGUUCCUGAGGGAGUGUGUUGUUUCCUUUUCAUAAACUGCCCUGCACUAAACAGCCCAAGAUGGUCCUCCAUUCGAGUGGUAGAGUCCUUUCCUUCAAAGAAAGGAGGAAUGCUUACCAGAAGUUGUACAUUUGGCUUUACUGUCUUUUUCUCAUUUGCCUUCUGUUUUUUUCCUUCCUUCAGGAACAAGUGAAUGGCCAAGACAGGACUAACUCCAUAGUAGACUUCACCUGUUCGCUCACUCUCCUAGCUGGUCUCUCUUCUACUGACAGCCCGUGGUUUCAGCAGGAAUCCAGUUUCAUCUGCUGACCAGUUUUCCCUUGCCCCUCAUGUUUCAUUUGGCCCAGCCCCACGCCCCACCAUGUUUAAGGAAGAAAGGGAUGGGAUCGGAGGACUGCACACAGGGCAUCUGUGGCCUGAGCGCCUAGCCAGCUCACCUUAUAACUCACCUCUUUACAACCCACCAAUAGGCACAGAGAUGGAGGCUCAAAUGCAACCUGAUUGGGGAGUCUAGAGCCAGAAUCUGGUUUUCAUCAGAGAAUGCCGGAGAACCAGGGUGUCAGCUUUAUCUUGGCAAGGGGUAUGGAUAUGUGCACACUUCAUCCAGCUGAGUCUUCCAUCCAGAUCUGCUCCCUGGUUUCCCAGUGUGUCCACGGAGACAGCCCUCGGAACUGCUUCUCUUUGCUCCAAUCAUUGAAGGCCGUCACGAGCACCACGAUGAUCACCGAGAACAGAAUGGCUGCCCCCUCAAUCCAGCCGGCUUCGGACUCCCCUUCAUCUUCUGGGCUACUCACAGGAGGCCGAUAGAAGGACAGAACCAGGGAGAUGAUGGCUGCGAUCUCCAGGAUGAUGAGUGUGACAUCUUGAAGGGCUUCCCACACU